ACAUAAAUAACCCAAAAUUGAGAACGCCACCACACCAAAACGAAGUUCAGUCGGCUUUCUUGAUUUUGGGGUGUCCAAAAUAAAGUUCAUAGCUUGAACUUGAUGCCCCAAAAAACGUAAUUUUUGUUUGUUGGUGAUUUUAUAUGGUGUUGUUGUUUGCGACUGAAAACGUAUUGUCUUUUAGUUUCAUAGCUGUAGCUAGCUGUAAUGCUGAUGCUACUUUUGCCAAAACUGAAUAAACCGGAAACCGAUGCGGUGUUAUUGGGUCUUCCGGGCAAGCACAACAGGCAGCAGCUGAUAACUCUCAAGGGUGUCCGGUUGUUCGGACAGGCAGGAUGGUGUUGUUCACCCGGGCAAAAGCAGUUUUUCCAUUAAUGAAUGACCAAAGAAUAACCAAAAGCCAUGAAGCUAGAGCAAAUUAUAAAAAGGAAUCGUUCGAGUUUAACACUGAGGUACUUUUCCGGAACCGACGGGUCUAUCCCACCUAAGAUCAGUAGUUUUACAUAAAACGAAACAUCUUUCUGAUCCGGGAAGCUGAAAAUGAUAAAAUCUAAAUUUGGUCAUUUCAAUCGUAAUUGUAAUUUUUAAUUUUGUGCAAUUGCAGAAUUCAAUAAAAAUUCGUUCAAUAAUGAA